rnacentral:rRNA from 1 species
GACGAACGCUGGCGGCGUGCUUAACACAUGCAAGUCGAACGGAAAGGCCUGCUUUCCCUUGUGGAUUGCGUGUACUCGAGUGGCGAACGGGUGAGUAACACGUGAGUGAUCUGCCCCCAACUUGGGUAUAAGCCUGGGAAACUGGGUCUAAUUCCCGAUAGGACUGCAGGGUGGUGCCUGUGGUGGAAAACGAUUUUCUAGUGGUUGGGGAUGAGCUCGCGGCCUAUCAGCUUGUUGGUGGGGUAAUGUCCUACCAAGGCGGCGACGGGUAGCCGGCCUGUGAGGGUGGACGGCCAAAUUGGGACUGAGAUACGGCCCAGACGCCUACGGGCGGCAGCAGUGGGGAAUAAUGGACCAUGGGCGGAAGCCUGAUGCAGCGCCGCAGCGUGGGGGAUGACGGCAUUCGGGUUGUAAACUCCUUUCGACCGCGAGGAAGCCACCUGGUUGGAAGGGUGGUGACGGUAGUGGUAGAAGAAGCACCGGCUAACUACGUG